rnacentral:rRNA from 1 species
AUGACGCCCAUGUGCUUGAGCGACCCGGACAUGACGUCCCCGAUGAUGAUGAGGUACACCACGAGGAUGCCGGCGUUGUUGACGACGAUGCAGAGCUGCGCGACGACGCUGGCGGGGCGGCCGAGCGCGCGGUGCACGAGCUCGCCGUAGGAGAGCGCGCGGCAGCGCACCGCGAACCGGACGAGCAGCUCGAUGGUGACCUCGGAGAGGAGCCCCAUGACGAGGAUGGAGACGAGCCCCACGGCCACGCCGAGCACCUUCAUGGUCGCCGGUAGCGCCAUGAUGCCCGCCCCGAUGAUGGAGGUCGCCAGGUUGAACACCGCGCCGUAGACCCCCGAGCCCUCCGGCGGGCCGGAGGGGCCGUCGUCGCCGAUGAGCGGCAGUGAGUCGUGCUCGCCGGCGUUGGUGGCGGCGUCGUCGUCAUCGACCUCGCCGAGGAACGAGUCCUGCUUGGUGAGCUUGGCGUGGCCGUUGGUGGAGGCGCCAGAUUUGGGAUGCGGCGGCGGCUGGCUUGACUGCAGCUCGAUGGCGGUGGAGGUGAGCGGGAGCGCCGAGUAG